ACGCAGCGUACAGGGGUACAUAAACAUACAAAAAUGAUAGUAAAUAAUUCUCAUCAAACAGAUAUGGUUACUUUACUCGGUAUA